rnacentral:snRNA from 1 species
AAUCGAGAGCUCCAAGUGGG